UUUAAUGAAAGUAAAACUAGGAAUCAUUAAGUUUGGAAAGGAUAUCUGAGAUCAUCAGUCCAACCAUCAGCCCAACACCACCAUGCCCACUAAACCAUGUCCCACAGUGCCACGUCUACCCAUUUUUUGAACACUUCCAUGGAUGGUGACUCCACCACCUCCCCGGGCAGCCUGUUCCAAUGCUCAACUACCCUUUCUGUGAAGAAAUUUUUCCUAAUAUCCAAUCUAAACCUCCCCUGAUGCAGCUUCAGGCCAUACUAGACAAAAUACAUGACUGAACUCAGCAACAUUUUUCCUGUCGUCUUCUCUACCUGGAUGCCCUAUCAUUCCCUUGUGACUUAUUCAGAAACACAGAAAAAAAUGUAAGGAUCCUUUGGAGGUCACCUAGACUAACCUCCUACUUAAACUAGGGCCAGUUAGAUCAAGUUGCUUAUGGAUGUGUGCAGUUGAGUUUUGAAUUAUCUCCAGAGAUGGAUGGAGAUUCCACAACAUCUAUGGUCAGCCUGUUAGAAUACUUGAUCAUGCCCAUUGUAAAAGUCAUGCCCAAACAACCUGAUCGCCUUUUAUAAUAAAAUUAACUGUAUUUGUAGAUGAGGGGACAGUACUAAUGUCAUUGAGCUAAACUUCAAUUAGUCUUUCAGAGUCUCCCCAAAUAUUCCUGUAUCUGACUUAGGACAUUAUGGUCUGAAUGGGUGGAUAACUGCAUGGGUAAAAAAUUGUUUGGGAGAUUAGGAUCAAAGGGUAGUGUUUACCCUAGCCAAGAGGCUGGUGGUAUUCCUCAGGGGCUCGUUCAGGAAUAUGUUCUGUUUAAUAUCCAUAUCAAUGACACAGAGGAGCUGACGGAGUGAAUUCUCAGCAAAUUUGCAAAUGACAAAGUGUGAGUGAGGGAACAGCCAAUACUGCUGAGGGCAGUGCUGCCAUCCAAAAGAACCUACACAGGACUACAGGAACCUUAUGGAAUUCAGCAAGAACAAGCAGAUCUUGCACCUGGCAAAGAUGUUCCCCUGGCUGCAAUACAAGCUGGACUGACUGCAAGGGGAGAAGCUCUGCUGAAAAGUCUGGGAGUCGCAGGAGGCAGCAAGCUGAUCAUGAGCCAUUAGUGCAAGCAGAGGGCCAAAGCGUUCAUAGCGACAUCGCUUUUUGAUCCUUCGAUGUCAGCUCUUCCUAUCAUUGUGAAGCAGAAUUCACCAAGCAUUGGAUUGUUCACCCACUAAUAGGGAACGUGAGCUGGGUUUAGACCAUUGUGAGACAGGUUAGUUUUACCCUACUGAUCAUGUGU
rnacentral:ncRNA from 1 species